rnacentral:rRNA from 1 species
UACGGAGGGUGCAAGCGUUGUUCGGAAUCACUGGGCGUAAAGGGCGUGUAGGCGGUCCGCUAAGUCUGAUGUGAAAGCCCGGGGCUCACCCCCGGAAGGGCAUUGGAAACUGGCGGACUCGAGUCCCGGAGAGGAAGGUGGAAUUCCUGGUGUAGCGGUGAAAUGCGUAGAUAUCAGGAGGAAUACCGGUGGCGAAGGCGGUUCUCUGGGCCUUACCUGACGCUGAGGAGCGAAAGCGUGGGGAGCGAACAGG